UACUAGAGUAGCACUCGCAUAUCAAUAAGCGGAGGAAAAGAAACUAACAAGGAUUCCCCUAGUAACGGCGAGUGAAGCGGGAAGAGCUCAAAUUUGAAAUCUUAAAGGGUUUCCCUUUACGAAUUGUAGUUUAAAGAAGUGUUUUCUGUUGAGGUUUUGGUAAAAGUUCUUUGGAAUAGGACAUCAUAGAGGGUGAGAAUCCCGUAUUUGACCUUUACUUUCAACUUUGUGAUACACUUUCAAAGAGUCGGAUUGUUUGGGAAUGCAGUCCAAAAUGGGUGAUAAAUUUCAUCUAAAGCUAAAUAUUGGCGAGAGACCGAUAGCGAACAAGUACCGUGAGGGAAGAGAUGAAAAGAACUUUGAAAAGAGAGUUAAACAGUACGUGAAAUUGUCAAAAGGGAAGCGUUUGACACCAGUGUUGUUUUUCUGAAAAUCAAUUAAAGAACUGUUUAUGCUAAGCUGUUUAGACUUUAUCAGCUAAUCUGUUUAGUUUUGAGCUUUUCUUUAAUGCACUUUUCAGUUAACAAGUCAACAUCAAUUUCUUUUGCUGUAAAAAAGCUUGAGGAAGGUGGCUUGAGAUUCGUCUCAAGUGUUUAUAGCCUCUUGCCUAUGCAGUCGGAGAGAUUGAGGUCUGCAGCGUAGAUCCUUCGGGGCUAAAUGCAUUUGUGCUAAGUUAUAGCAUUUUAUAGACAACUUGUUGACUAUGAUUUGUCUUGUAGCUUACUCGCUUAUGUUAUUUUACCUACGCUUAGGAUGUUGAACUCUAUCACACACAG
rnacentral:rRNA from 1 species